rnacentral:rRNA from 1 species
GGGUUGUGAGGUUAAGCGACUAAGCGUACACGGUGGAUGCCCUGGCAGUCAGAGGCGAUGAAGGACGUGCUAAUCUGCGAUAAGCGUCGGUAAGGUGAUAUGAACCGUUAUAACCGGCGAUUUCCGAAUGGGGAAACCCAGUGUGUUUCGACACACUAUCAUUAACUGAAUCCAUAGGUUAAUGAGGCGAACCGGGGGAACUGAAACAUCUAAGUACCCCGAGGAAAAGAAAUCAACCGAGAUUCCCCCAGUAGCGGCGAGCGAACGGGGAGCAGCCCAGAGCCUGAAUCAGUGUGUGUGUUAGUGGAAGCGUCUGGAAAGGCGCGCGAUACAGGGUGACAGCCCCGUACACAAAAAUGCACAUGCUGUGAGCUCGAUGAGUAGGGCGGGACACGUGGUAUCCUGUCUGAAUAUGGGGGGACCAUCCUCCAAGGCUAAAUACUCCUGACUGACCGAUAGUGAACCAGUACCGUGAGGGAAAGGCGAAAAGAACCCCGGCGAGGGGAGUGAAAAAGAACCUGAAACCGUGUACGUACAAGCAGUGGGAGCACGCUUAGGCGUGUGACUGCGUACCUUUUGUAUAAUGGGUCAGCGACUUAUAUUCUGUAGCAAGGUUAACCGAAUAGGGGAGCCGAAGGGAAACCGAGUCUUAACUGGGCGUUAAGUUGCAGGGUAUAGACCCGAAACCCGGUGAUCUAGCCAUGGGCAGGUUGAAGGUUGGGUAACACUAACUGGAGGACCGAACCGACUAAUGUUGAAAAAUUAGCGGAUGACUUGUGGCUGGGGGUGAAAGGCCAAUCAAACCGGGAGAUAGCUGGUUCUCCCCGAAAGCUAUUUAGGUAGCGCCUCGUGAAUUCAUCUCCGGGGGUAGAGCACUGUUUCGGCAAGGGGGUCAUCCCGACUUACCAACCCGAUGCAAACUGCGAAUACCGGAGAAUGUUAUCACGGGAGACACACGGCGGGUGCUAACGUCCGUCGUGAAGAGGGAAACAACCCAGACCGCCAGCUAAGGUCCCAAAGUCAUGGUUAAGUGGGAAACGAUGUGGGAAGGCCCAGACAGCCAGGAUGUUGGCUUAGAAGCAGCCAUCAUUUAAAGAAAGCGUAAUAGCUCACUGGUCGAGUCGGCCUGCGCGGAAGAUGUAACGGGGCUAAACCAUGCACCGAAGCUGCGGCAGCGACACUAUGUGUUGUUGGGUAGGGGAGCGUUCUGUAAGCCUGUGAAGGUGUGCUGUGAGGCAUGCUGGAGGUAUCAGAAGUGCGAAUGCUGACAUAAGUAACGAUAAAGCGGGUGAAAAGCCCGCUCGCCGGAAGACCAAGGGUUCCUGUCCAACGUUAAUCGGGGCAGGGUGAGUCGACCCCUAAGGCGAGGCCGAAAGGCGUAGUCGAUGGGAAACAGGUUAAUAUUCCUGUACUUGGUGUUACUGCGAAGGGGGGACGGAGAAGGCUAUGUUGGCCGGGCGACGGUUGUCCCGGUUUAAGCGUGUAGGCUGGUUUUCCAGGCAAAUCCGGAAAAUCAAGGCUGAGGCGUGAUGACGAGGCACUACGGUGCUGAAGCAACAAAUGCCCUGCUUCCAGGAAAAGCCUCUAAGCAUCAGGUAACAUCAAAUCGUACCCCAAACCGACACAGGUGGUCAGGUAGAGAAUACCAAGGCGCUUGAGAGAACUCGGGUGAAGGAACUAGGCAAAAUGGUGCCGUAACUUCGGGAGAAGGCACGCUGAUAUGUAGGUGAAGUCCCUCGCGGAUGGAGCUGAAAUCAGUCGAAGAUACCAGCUGGCUGCAACUGUUUAUUAAAAACACAGCACUGUGCAAACACGAAAGUGGACGUAUACGGUGUGACGCCUGCCCGGUGCCGGAAGGUUAAUUGAUGGGGUUAGCGCAAGCGAAGCUCUUGAUCGAAGCCCCGGUAAACGGCGGCCGUAACUAUAACGGUCCUAAGGUAGCGAAAUUCCUUGUCGGGUAAGUUCCGACCUGCACGAAUGGCGUAAUGAUGGCCAGGCUGUCUCCACCCGAGACUCAGUGAAAUUGAACUCGCUGUGAAGAUGCAGUGUACCCGCGGCAAGACGGAAAGACCCCGUGAACCUUUACUAUAGCUUGACACUGAACAUUGAGCCUUGAUGUGUAGGAUAGGUGGGAGGCUUUGAAGUGUGGACGCCAGUCUGCAUGGAGCCGACCUUGAAAUACCACCCUUUAAUGUUUGAUGUUCUAACGUGGACCCGUAAUCCGGGUUGCGGACAGUGUCUGGUGGGUAGUUUGACUGGGGCGGUCUCCUCCUAAAGAGUAACGGAGGAGCACGAAGGUUGGCUAAUCCUGGUCGGACAUCAGGAGGUUAGUGCAAUGGCAUAAGCCAGCUUGACUGCGAGCGUGACGGCGCGAGCAGGUGCGAAAGCAGGUCAUAGUGAUCCGGUGGUUCUGAAUGGAAGGGCCAUCGCUCAACGGAUAAAAGGUACUCCGGGGAUAACAGGCUGAUACCGCCCAAGAGUUCAUAUCGACGGCGGUGUUUGGCACCUCGAUGUCGGCUCAUCACAUCCUGGGGCUGAAGUAGGUCCCAAGGGUAUGGCUGUUCGCCAUUUAAAGUGGUACGCGAGCUGGGUUUAGAACGUCGUGAGACAGUUCGGUCCCUAUCUGCCGUGGGCGCUGGAGAACUGAGGGGGGCUGCUCCUAGUACGAGAGGACCGGAGUGGACGCAUCACUGGUGUUCGGGUUGUCAUGCCAAUGGCACUGCCCGGUAGCUAAAUGCGGAAGAGAUAAGUGCUGAAAGCAUCUAAGCACGAAACUUGCCCCGAGAUGAGUUCUCCCUGACUCCUUGAGAGUCCUGAAGGAACGUUGAAGACGACGACGUUGAUAGGCCGGGUGUGUAAGCGCAGCGAUGCGUUGAGCUAACCGGUACUAAUGAACCGUGAGGCUUAACCUUACAACGCCGAAGGUGUUU